rnacentral:rRNA from 1 species
GGGUUGUGAGGUUAAGCGACUAAGCGUACACGGUGGAUGCCCUGGCAGUCAGAGGCGAUGAAGGACGUGCUAAUCUGCGAAAAGCGCCGGCGAGGUGAUAUGAACCUUUGACCCGGCGAUGUCCGAAUGGGGAAACCCAGUGCAAUCCGUUGCACUAUCGUUAACUGAAUACAUAGGUUAACGAGGCGAACCGGGGGAACUGAAACAUCUAAGUACCCCGAGGAAAAGAAAUCAACCGAGAUUCCCCCAGUAGCGGCGAGCGAACGGGGAGCAGCCCGGAGUCUGAAUCAGCUUGUGUGUUAGUGGAACGGUCUGGAAAGUCCGACGGUACAGGGUGAUAGUCCCGUACACGAAAGCACACUUGCUGUGAACUCGAAGAGUAGGGCGGGACACGUGGUAUCCUGUCUGAAUAUGGGGGGACCAUCCUCCAAGGCUAAAUACUCCUGACUGACCGAUAGUGAACCAGUACCGUGAGGGAAAGGCGAAAAGAACCCCGGCGAGGGGAGUGAAAAAGAACCUGAAACCGUGUACGUACAAGCAGUGGGAGCCUCUUUAUGGGGUGACUGCGUACCUUUUGUAUAAUGGGUCAGCGACUUAUAUUCUGUAGCAAGGUUAACCGUAUAGGGGAGCCGAAGGGAAACCGAGUCUUAACUGGGCGUUAAGUUGCAGGGUAUAGACCCGAAACCCGGUGAUCUAGCCAUGGGCAGGUUGAAGGUUGGGUAACACUAACUGGAGGACCGAACCGACUAAUGUUGAAAAAUUAGCGGAUGACCUGUGGCUGGGGGUGAAAGGCCAAUCAAACCGGGAGAUAGCUGGUUCUCCCCGAAAGCUAUUUAGGUAGCGCCUCGUGAACUCAUCUUCGGGGGUAGAGCACUGUUUCGGCUAGGGGGCCAUCCCGGCUUACCAACCCGAUGCAAACUACGAAUACCGAAGAAUGUUAUCACGGGAGACACACGGCGGGUGCUAACGUCCGUCGUGAAGAGGGAAACAACCCAGACCGCCAGCUAAGGUCCCAAAGUCAUGGUUAAGUGGGAAACGAUGUGGGAAGGCACAGACAGCCAGGAUGUUGGCUUAGAAGCAGCCAUCAUUUAAAGAAAGCGUAAUAGCUCACUGGUCGAGUCGGCCUGCGCGGAAGAUGUAACGGGGCUAAACCAUGCACCGAAGCUGCGGCAGCGACGCUUAGGCGUUGUUGGGUAGGGGAGCGUUCUGUAAGCCGUUGAAGGUGUGCUGUGAGGCAUGCUGGAGGUAUCAGAAGUGCGAAUGCUGACAUAAGUAACGAUAAAGCGGGUGAAAAGCCCGCUCGCCGGAAGACCAAGGGUUCCUGUCCAACGUUAAUCGGGGCAGGGUGAGUCGACCCCUAAGGCGAGGCCGAAAGGCGUAGUCGAUGGGAAACAGGUUAAUAUUCCUGUACUUGGUGUUACUGCGAAGGGGGGACGGAGAAGGCUAUGUCAGCCGGGCGACGGUUGUCCCGGUUUAAGCAUGUAGGCGGAGGUUCCAGGUAAAUCCGGUACCUUGUUAACGCUGAGGUGUGAUGACGAGGCACUACGGUGCUGAAGUGAUAAAUGCCCUGCUUCCAGGAAAAGCCUCUAAGCAUCAGGUAACACGAAAUCGUACCCCAAACCGACACAGGUGGUCAGGUAGAGAAUACCAAGGCGCUUGAGAGAACUCGGGUGAAGGAACUAGGCAAAAUGGUGCCGUAACUUCGGGAGAAGGCACGCUGAU